GAUGAACGCUGGCGGCGUGCCUAAUACAUGCAAGUCGAGCGAACGGACGAGAAGCUUGCUUCUCUGAUGUUAGCGGCGGACGGGUGAGUAACACAUGGAUAACCUACCUAUAAGACUGGGAUAACUUCGGGAAACCGUAGCUAAUACCGGAUAAUAUUUUGAACCGCAUGGUUCAAAAGUGAAAGACGGUCUUGCUGUCACUUAUAGAUGGAUCCGCGCUGCAUUAGCUAGUUGGUAAGGUAACGGCUUACCAAGGCAACGAUGCAUAGCCGACCUGAGAGGGUGAUCGGCCACACUGGAACUGAGACACGGUCCAGACUCCUACGGGAGGCAGCAGUAGGGAAUCUUCCGCAAUGGGCGAAAGCCUGACGGAGCAACGCCGGGUGAGUGAUGAAGGUCUUCGGAUCGUAAAACUCUGUUAUUAGGGAAGAACAUAUGUGUAAGUAACUGUGCACAUCUUGACGGUACCUAAUCAGAAAGCCACGGCUAACUACGUGCCAGCAGCCGCGGUAAUACGUAGGUGGCAAGCGUUAUCCGGAAUUAUUGGGCGUAAAGCGCGCGUAGGCGGUUUUUUAAGUCUGAUGUGAAAGCCCACGGCUCAACCGUGGAGGGUCAUUGGAAACUGGAAAACUUGAGUGCAGAAGAGGAAAGUGGAAUUCCAUGUGUAGCGGUGAAAUGCGCAGAGAUAUGGAGGAACACCAGUGGCGAAGGCGACUUUCUGGUCUGUAACUGACGCUGAUGUGCGAAAGCGUGGGGAUCAAACAGGAUUAGAUACCCUGGUAGUCCACGCCGUAAACGAUGAGUGCUAAGUGUUAGGGGGUUUCCGCCCCUUAGUGCUGCAGCUAACGCAUUAAGCACUCCGCCUGGGGAGUACGACCGCAAGGUUGAAACUCAAAGGAAUUGACGGGGACCCGCACAAGCGGUGGAGCAUGUGGUUUAAUUCGAAGCAACGCGAGGAACCUUACCAAAUCUUGACAUCCUUUGACAACUCUAGAGAUAGAGCCUUCCCCUUCGGGGGACAAAGUGACAGGUGGUGCAUGGUUGUCGUCAGCUCGUGUCGUGAGAUGUUGGGUUAAGUCCCGCAACGAGCGCAACCCUUAAGCUUAGUUGCCAUCAUUAAGUUGGGCACUCUAAGUUGACUGCCGGUGACAAACCGGAGGAAGGUGGGGAUGACGUCAAAUCAUCAUGCCCCUUAUGAUUUGGGCUACACACGUGCUACAAUGGACAAUACAAAGGGCAGCGAAACCGCGAGGUCAAGCAAAUCCCAUAAAGUUGUUCUCAGUUCGGAUUGUAGUCUGCAACUCGACUACAUGAAGCUGGAAUCGCUAGUAAUCGUAGAUCAGCAUGCUACGGUGAAUACGUUCCCGGGUCU
rnacentral:rRNA from 1 species